AUUGAACGCUGGCGGCAUGCCUUACACAUGCAAGUCGAACGGCAGCACGGGAGCAAUCCUGGUGGCGAGUGGCAAACGGGUGAGUAACGCAUCGGAACGUGCCCAGUCGUGGGGGAUAACGUAGAGAAAUUUACGCUAAUACCGCAUACGAUCUAUGGAUGAAAGCAGGGGAUCGCAAGACCUUGCGCGAUUGGAGCGGCCGAUGUCAGAUUAGGUAGUUGGUGGGGUAAAGGCCCACCAAGCCGACGGUCUGUAGCUGGUCUGAGAGGUGGACCAGCAACCCUGGGGCUGAGACACGGCCCAGACUCCUACGGGAGGCAGCAGUGGGGAAUUUUGGACAAUGGGCGAAAGCCUGAUCCAGCCAUGCCGCGUGCAGGAUGAAGGCCUUCGGGUUGUAAACUGCUUUUGUACGGAACGAAAAGCUCUGGGUUAAUACCCUGGGGUCAUGACGGUACCGUAAGAAUAAGCACCGGCUAACUACGUGCCAGCCGCCGCGGUAACAC
rnacentral:rRNA from 1 species